UGCCAGCAGCCGCGGUAAUACGGAGGGGGUUAGCGUUGUUCGGAAUUACUGGGCGUAAAGCGCGCGUAGGCGGAUUAGUCAGUCAGAGGUGAAAUCCCAGGGCUCAACCCCGGAACUGCCUCCAAAACUAUCAGUCUAGAGUUCGAGAGAGGUGAGUGGAACUCCGAGUGUAGAGGUGAAAUUCGUAGAUAUUCGGAAGAACACCAGUGGCGAAGGCGGCUCACUGGCUCGAUACUGACGCUGAGGUGCGAAAGUGUGGGGAGCAAACAGGAUUAGAUA
rnacentral:rRNA from 1 species